ACAGUAACAGUCUCUGAAAAAUGACAUUGUUCAUCCCAGAUAUGGCAGCUGGACAUUUCAUUUUGUUCAUCUUUCUUUUCUAUGCCUUCCAGCCCAUCAAAGCCAAAGACCUUCCUCAGCCCAGUCUGACAGUGAUUCCUACAGUCAUCAGAGAGAGAGGCUCUGUUCAGGUGAUCUGUGCAACUCCUUCAUCUCUCUCUGAGUCUGAGUGUUACUUCAAAUUUGAGGGGCAAGUUGAGUUUACCCUACCAGCAGCCUGUCAACAGACACUCAGAGUCACAGGAAAUCAUCUGUUACGGUGGACAGGUCGAAGUUCACCUGCUGUGGUCAAAAUACAAUGUCAAUACAGUAACACAAGCUUUCAGUUUAGAUCCAUAUUCAGUGACCCAUCUACAGUCACAAUUGAGGAUCAUCCUCAGCUGACAGUGAUUCCUACAGUCAUCAGAAAGAGAGACUCAGUUCAGCUGAUCUGUGAGACUCCUCCAUCUGUCUAUGUGUCUGACUGUAUCUUCAGUGAAGUGGGGAGAUCUAGUCUGCCAGGCUCAACCUGUAAACAGACGGUCACAGGAUCUCAGCUGCUCUCUUGGACAGGUCAACCAUUACCAGCUGUGGUCCAGGUCACAUGUCACUACACUGUAGGGAUGUCUCACACAUCUCCUGUCAGUGACCCAGUUUCUGUCACUGUCCAGGGUGAACUACAGAAACCAGAGAUACAUAUGAAGGAUGAGUCUUCUGAUGUCAUCUCUAUAGACUCCCACUCUGUGUCCCCACACAGUGAUGGAUACAACUUACCAGAUCUGCCGGGAGAUCUCAUGAUCAGUGAUCCAACAACUAAACAGACAUCUUCUACAGCAGGUUCGACAGUAAGUUCUCAUUUGACCUCCAAAAUCUCUGUGAGACCAAUUACCAGAUCAACCACUGCUAUCACGCCAGCAACUUCAUCAGGGAAACUAUUAUGGCUGGGUGUGGCUUCUGGAGUGGGCAUGUUCUUGGUUGGAUUGACAGCUGUCUGUCUCUGCAGGAGGACCAAGAACAAAUAUUCUCAGAGAUCUCAAGCCCAACAGGAUGAACAUAACCAAGGUCCUGCUGAAGAGAACGGACAAUCAACUGUAAAUAGCAAUUCUGGUACAUACCACAUUUACAGCUCCAUCCGAGACAGACCAGCAACCUCAGCGCAGACAGUUGAGUUGUACAGUCUACUGCAGACGCAAGUCUAACAUAAGUCUUUUAUUCUUUUAUUCACUUUACUUGAAAUUAACACUGACACUUGACUUUUGUUACAUAUCCAUUUUGGUGUGUAACCCAAUAAUAACAAAAAGGAAGAAAAAUCUAAUGUGUGUUCUUGAAUUUGUUUUAAAUAAAUAUAUUGUUUAAUAUACACCCUAGUUCAUUAUAAUAUUUUGCAACAUUAAGAUAUAUAUUUUUUAACAUAAGUGUCAGGAGCAGUAAUACUGGUUGUGAUUGGUGAAUGUGUCCUAAGAACGGGGGUGGAGAUCGCGAGAGAAAAGAUGGUUAGAUGAAGGAAGCGUGCUCGGAAAAUUUGGGUUGUCCUGUCGAAAGAUAUUUCUGUAUACUGUGUGUUUUACCUCCCAAUAAAUUGUCUAAACGAUAGGCUGUCAAGGGACAAGCAAGCCCCCAUAUUAAUUUAAAUAGCUUGAUGUCUACUCGAUGUUUAAGGUGUUUGUUUACCACACGUAUUCCGCUAGCUUGCUCAUUAGCAUUAGCAUAGAUAAUACUAAACAGUAUCAGAAGAAUAGCACCGCUGACUACUACGACGUGGGACGCAAAUAACCAGAUAUCGCUCUGAGCCAGACCUGGAUGCUCGGAGUUCCGCUGGCGCCGCUGGAUCCGGAUAUGAAUCAACGACGUAAUCCUUCGUUUUCUAUGGCCAGCAACCAGAGAACCAGUAUAUACUGACGGGACUUCAUUGAGGUACUGGAUAGUUUUGUUUUAUUUGCUCAUGAGAGUGAAGUGACCAAACAGCUUUGGGUCUCAACGUAGGCAAGCAUCGUCCUGGGCCUACAUCGUGGUUUUACAUUGGCCAGUCCACCAUAUAUGCUUGUGAAUGCAUACAUUUUUGUGAUAAUUUGC